AGGUGCAGCUUUCCUGACGACUGUCGCCUCUGCCGGGAUGAUUGCAGGAUUUGGCUCAACGUUUGCAAGGAUCAGAUGGUGGCAGGUGUCCCAGCAGGGUCAGACAGCCAUGGAAGUACAGUCUACAGAGCUCUGGUGAAUUUUGUAGUAUAUUAUAACGAGUGAGGGGAUACAAAGUCACAUCUUGAGUUGAUGGCUAGGCUACAGUCUGGGAAUAAUGGUCAUUUCAGGAUCAGAUGGUGACAGGGGUCUCAGCCAACCAGGGAAGACUAAUGCGUGACGGCACUGAGGAACGAUGGCCACCACUGCAGUACCGGAGACAGGGGCGUUCCUGGCUCUCCGGGCCCUGGGCUGGGGCUCGCUCUACGCCUGGUGUGGAGUGGACCUGCUCAGCAUCGCAGUCUGGAAAGCCAUGGGGUCCAUAGUGUACGUAUUAAUGAACUCAACCCAUCUCAUUGUCUAGCCCUUAUCAUGCCGUCAGAAAACAGACCAGCAUCAUCACUAUUACCCAACACUCAGCAAAUGUAGAACAUAUUUGUCCAUCUUUGCAGCUAACAGAUCAGGCAGAUGAUGCAGUCUGUUUUCCCGGCUAUAAAAAAAAAACGAAGGAUCAGCCAACUCAAGAGGAAUGGGACACCAUCUUCAAGUCUAAAGAGGACUGAAGGUCGAGACUAUAUUCUCACCCUGGCUGAGAGCAGCAUUAAUAAGUCACUGCGGGACUUAACCAUUACUGUGGGAUGGGCAGUCAGUUGGUCACUGUGCUGAGAAGGAAAUGAACUUGGCGUCCACAAUGCGUGGUCCAGCCACUCUUCACUGAUGCUCAUCUGAAGCCUAUGAAGAGAGCACCCCUUGCCUGAAGGAGGAAUUAUGAAACAAAUGACUGUUGGACUGAGGCAUCACGGUUCAUUUAAACUCCCUUGGAUAAUCUUAAUUUCUGAUCAGAGGUUUACUAUGUAAAACCACAGGAGCCCUGGACAGUCUUGUACUGUACAGUUAGCCUAAACACCAAUCUGUUUGUGUUCGUUGUCAAGCCAAAUUGUUGCUAUGACGAGUAUCACAUAGUUUACAUAAGACGGGCACUAAGGCUAGUACAGUAGUCCUCGGCAGCGACUGCUUUCUCAUUUGUGUAGUGCUUGAACAGAUCUUGAAUCUACUCACUGUGCUUUGUCAUGAAGGCCACGAGAUGGAUUGUCUUAAAUCUGUAUAUGAUCGUAUUUCUUUGUCAAUCAAAAUGCAUUUCACACUAUUUGUUCUGCGAAAGAGUAAAAAGCUAAAUGUGUUUGCAAUUCUGAAGACAGUGAAAGUUGUGCAGCUGAAUGUGAGGUGCCUGGUUUCUCUUACACAGAUUGAACCAUCAUCCAAUGUAACACCUGUGUUUACCGUCAGCUAUUCCCAUAAAAGACUAGUAUAAAAAUGAGAACAAACCUGAACUAUCUUAAACUGGGCCCGGCUAGCCAUAUAACAAGUAUAAAAUGAGAACAGACCUGAACUAUCUUAAACUGGGCCCGGCUAGCCAUAUAACAAGUAUAAAAUGAGAACAGACCUGAACUAUCUUAAACUGGGCCCGGCUAGCCAUAUAACAAGUAUAAAAUGAGAACAGACCUGAACUAUCUUAAACUGGGCCCGGCUAGCCAUAUAACAAGUAUAAAAUGAGAACAGACCUGAACUAUCUUAAACUGGGCCCGGCUAGCCAUAUAACAAGUAUAAAAUGAGAACAGACCUGAACUAUCUUAAACUGGGCCCGGCUAGCCAUAUAACAAGUAUAAAAUGAGAACAGACCUGAACUAUCUUAAACUGGGCCCGGCUAGCCAUAUAACAAGUAUAAAAUGAGAACAGACCUGAACUAUCUUAAACUGGGCCCGGCUAGCCAUAUAACAAGUAUAAAAUGAGAACAGACCUGAACUAUCUUAAACUGGGCCCGGCUAGCCAUAUAACAAGUAUAAAAUGAGAACAGACCUGAACUAUCUUAAACUG